CUUGGUCAUUUAGAGGAAGUAAAAGUCGUAACAAGGUCUCCGUUGGUGAACCAGCGGAGGGAUCAUUACCGAGUUUACAACUCCCAAACCCCUGUGAACAUACCUUUAUGUUGCCUCGGCGGAUCAGCCCGCGCCCCGUAAAACGGGACGGCCCGCCGCAGGAACCACAAAACUCUGAUUUUAGUGUAACUUCUGAGUCUAAAAAACAAAUAAAUCAAAACUUUCAACAACGGAUCUCCUGGUUCUGGCAUCGAUGAAGAACGCAGCAAAAUGCGAUAAGUAAUGUGAAUUGCAGAAUUCAGUGAAUCAUCGAAUCUUUGAACGCACAUUGCGCCCGCCAGUAUUCUGGCGGGCAUGCCUGUUCGAGCGUCAUUUCAACCCUCAAGCCCCCGGGUUUGGUGUUGGGGAUCCGGCUGUACUCCAGCCCGGCCCCGAAAUCUAGUGGCGGUCUCGCUGCAGCCUCCAUUGCGUAGUAGCUAACACCUCGCAACUGGAACGCGGCGCGGCCAAGCCGUUAAACCCCCAACUUCUGAAUGUUGACCUCGGAUCAGGUAGGAAUACCCGCUUAACUUAAGCAUAUCAAUAAGCGGAGGA
rnacentral:misc_RNA from 1 species